AAUAACAACAAUAAUAAUAAAUUGUGUGUUUUAUACAUGGUGCCUUUUUUCCCCACUGAUUUUACCAACUAUUGACAGUUGUGAUAAUUUAGAUCUAACUCUACAGAACUUCAUAAGCCCUUCACUACUGGUUAAACAUCUCAUUUUCUCUUUUUUUCCCAAGGGAAGAAUCAAAACAGAAAUAGCUAAACAUAAAAAUCUUAAGCCAUAACUAGGAGCCACUUUUAAAUCCCCGCAGGGAGAAUACCUUUAAGAACAGCUGGAAGGAACCAACUGCCAAAUUUCAACUGGCACUGAGACUUCUGAGCUCCUUCAACCAACAUUCUGUCCCACCAAAGAGUGAACACUGUAGGUAGGAACAUUGAGCAACACGGAGAGGUUCAGCAAAGAGCUGGAGCCAGGAGGUGGCAGAAUCGGGAUUUGAAUUGAGCUGGACUGACUUCGGAGAACACCUCCUUAGCCUCGAAAUCAUAUAGUCUCCAGUUGGCUGCUGGUGACCUCAGUAACAGUGCCUUUAGAAGUAUGGUGGGGACAAUACCCAGAAACUGAGCAUGGAAUGGGAGCUGGUUAAUUGAGAGAUUGAGAAGAGUUGAAAGCAUUUCCACAGAGAAUCACACUGACAAAGUCCAAUGAUCUGGCUGGCGGUCAGUUCAAGAUUAGGAUCUCUGGUGAGUGCCUGAAGGGCUUGAGUAAAAAGCAUCAUACGUAGGAUCUUCUCCAUACCUGGAAUUUCAAGUGGUUUCCAGAGUUAUCACAAGCAUCUUCCCUGAGCUUCAAAUACAACAAGGAUUUGGGUAUUUUCUACAUACCAGGCACAGUGACAAAUAUUUUCCCCUGCUCUAUUUUAUUUACUACCUAUCAUACCUCUCCAGAGUGGAGAUUCUUUCUAAACCCAGCAAGAUUUUCUUUUACUUGUUUUCUGUAUUGUGCUAAAACGCCUUUCAAAAAUUUCCAAGGGGCUCUUUACAUCUGCAAGUUUCCUCUAUUUUGUGUGUAUCUGGAAAAAUGAGGUUUAAAAGUG